rnacentral:lncRNA from 1 species
GGUGGUUUAAUCUCUCUGAGCCUCCUUGUUUUCAUCCAUAAAAUGGGCAUAAGGAUGCCAACCUUACAGCAGCACUAUGAGCGUUAAAUAUAAAGCAUUUGUUGCCACAUGGGCAAAUGGACAUGAUAAAAAAUGUAAGUUUCCUCACUUAGGAAGAAAGAAAGUCUUUAUUUGGGGAAGGGGAAGUUUACCUUUAAGUUUAUAAAAAAAAAAUUAGUUUGUCUCUAUUAGAUCAAUAUGGGAAAAAUCACUACAUUAGGAUCCCCAAACUCCCCCAUCCAGUCUGUCCCAGGCAGACUUCAGGACAUGCACCUUGCUUGGUCCACAUGGUAAAUUUGAACCCAGUUAAAAUCAGAGGUUUCUUAACACAAUAAUCCUGUGAUUUCAGAGUAGUCUUCUUUAUUAUGAUUUUUUGAAAGGCCAUGCUUAAUAUAUUGCCUCUAUACCUUGGUUUCCUUAUCCCAGAGGGUAAAGAGUAGACCUGUGUCCUUAAAUUGGCCCCUUCUGGGGACAGUUAUCUGUAAUUCCAAGGUCUCCUCAGUCUUUUAUCCCUUUGCCCCUGAAUUGCUGGCAUCUCCCUAACACAGCCUAGCACUGGCACAUAAUAAGUGCUCAAGAAACCUAGAAUGACUCCCAAGCUUCAUUUCUCACCUUAGUUUAUCUUUAUUACGUCCCUCCCCAGCCACCCACUGCUGCAAGUGGAGCAGAAAUUCCCAUCUGCUGAGCUCUGCCUCUCUCGAGCAGCUUUGAUGGUGCCCCUCCCUGCCUGGCCUCCCCCGAGCCCUGCUGUGUGCACAUUUUCUCAGCUCUAAUAGAUUGUGUGUGCGGACACUUGAUUAGAAAGGUGUGCUUACAGAUAAAAGCAAGACAGGAACAGUAAAACUGCCUCCACUGUACAAACUCGGCUCUAAUUCUACCGCAAAUGAUCCCCAAAGCUUAAAGAGGCUCACAACCUUGGCUCCCAGGCCUGGGAAGGAUUAAGCGGGAGUCCACCUGGCUUUCCAGUGUCCCCUCAGGGUUCAGAAGGCUGAGUCCUAUUAAUACUGUCCCACAUCAAGUGCCCUGUUGCAAUUCUUCCCAGCCCCUACCUAGAGGUCUGCAGGGAAAAGAAUGUUUUUAAAUCAAGGACAAAACUUUGGCCUGAGCAGCUUGCAGGGACUCUGGGCUCUCAAUAGAGAAAUCUACCGUUCAGUGCAGACUUUGCCCACGAGAAGAAUUCUCUGCAAACAUCACCAAAGGCUGACCCCUGGCGAGUGCUUCUCUUCAUCCAAAGCACUUUGUUUGGUGGCUGAAUAUAAACUUAGUACUUGGACAUGGUGUGUCUGCAGUCCCAGACACAGCCGCCUUCACCUCUUCAAAGGACUGUCUGCAGCCCUACAAGUCCUCUAGUGAGCGCUAUUCAGUUUACUAAUAAAUGGCCUUGACUUGGGUCUGCCUUCCCCACCCAGCCACCUGGCUGCUGCCAACUCUAUCCAGGGCCUCUGGGGCUCCAGUGAGAUGCUGUGGGGCCCAGUACUCUUUCUUCUAAGAAGCUGUUGCUCUCUGUCUUUCCAGAUACCAUGAGAAAUCGGGGUCAGCCUUUGAUUUUUAUUUAUUCAUGCAUGUUCUCAGAGGCAGUGUUGUUGCCAAAGGGUUUAUGGACUUUUAAAGUUUUGGAGCCUGUGCUUUUAUCACCACUGUUUGUUGACUAGAAGUACCAUUUGGGGAAAGGUUCUGGUUGCCCUGUGCUGGGUGAUGGAUAAAGGAUUUGCAAUUCCCUUUUCUUUAAAACGUCCUGCACCCUAAGCAUCUGCUUCCCAGCACCACCAGCUGCCCAGACAGGUAUGGAUCCCUGGGUUCAGGUACUGUGUCCACAGGUCCCACUUUUUAUCCAUUUCAUUGCUGUCAUGUGAUUCAUCGUACUGAGUCCAAGGGCUGAGAAGCUCCGAGUACACUACAGCAGUGAUGCCAUUCGGGUGCUGACAGAUGUGUUCUCCGGGUUCUGACACAAGCACCUCUGAGCUGGCCUCAUCCCACAGUAGCAGAUCCAAGUUGGCUGUGUUGCCAGCAGGGCCACAGCAUGCCCCGGGCUCAGAAUCGAGUCUUAGUCAGCUGGGGUGCUGGGAUAGCAAAGCAUCUAGGCUGGGUGGCUUAGACAUGGCUGACAUCUGCUUCCCACAGUUCUGGAGGUAAAAAGUCCAGCUCAGGAUUCUAAGGAGCGCCCACUUCCUCACUGAUGGCAGCUUCUCCCUCUGUCCUCACAGUUAAAGGGGAGGAUUCUGGUCUCUUCAGCUCCUUGUAACAGCAUUAAUCCCAUUCCUGAGGUUCCCAUCCUCAGAACCAAAUCACCUCCUAAAGGCCCCACCUUCUAAUACCAUCUUUCAUCUUGAGGAUUAGGUUUCAGCAUUUGAAUAUGGAGGACAUGAGCAUUCAGUCCACAUACAGGUGGCAGUGGUCCUGUCAUUAGCUGGAGGGAGCUCAGGAAUGUGCUGUUCCUAACAUGGCUCAGUCCUCUGUCAAGAUCACAGGGGCUGCAGACCUAAGGAGCAAGAACAUAGGGGAAGGCAGGCAUCAGCAGAGGGUGAGCCUCAGAAUAACCAUUUACCCACUGUGACUUCAGGGUCAUUCAUCACUGCUUUGUUUCAGCUGCUGUGGCUCCUGACUGGGGACAAUAGGAUAACAAAUGCCAUGCAAAUGAAGUAAUGUAUGAGAAGUGCUGAGCAUAGUGUGGCAGGUGGAAUUCACCCCCUUCCUAAUUCCUGGAGCCUGUCUAGAUGUUGUGGUUCAUGGCAAAAGAGGUUCAAAUUAAGGGACGAGUCUUACAAUAGGAAGAUUCUCCUGCAUUAUCUGGGUGACCUAGGCCUAAUGUAAUCACAUGGGCCCUGUUAUAGGCUGAAUUAUGUCCCUUAACCCCAAUUCAUAUGUUGAAGCUCUAACCCGGUACCUCAGAAUAUAACAUUUGGAGAUUAGGUCUUUUAAAAAAUUGGUUAUACCAAUUAAUGGGUUUCAUUUUGGCAGAUUCAUAUGUGCAUAUAACUUACUUUGAUCAUUUUCCCCUCUUGCCCUAUCUUCCUCCCAGUUCCACAUUUUUUGGGGAGAGUUCAAUGUGUAUAGUAUAUUUUGCUCAUAUCCACCCCCAACUAUCCACCCUUAUACCCUUUCCCCUCCCUCUAUUCCCUUCCCUUGACUGAUAAUAGCCUCCCUUCUACUUUCUUUGCAUCUUUUUAGGGAGAUUUUAGGGAGAAUAUGCAAUAUUUGUCUUUCUGACUCUGGGCUUAUUUCACUCUACAUAAUAUUCUCCAGAUCCAUCCAUUUUCCUGAAGAUGACAGAAUUUUAUUCUUCCUUAUGGCCCCAUUGUAUAUUUAUAUCACAUUUUCUUUAUCGGUUCAUCUGGUGAUGGGUAUCUAGGCUGGUUCCAUAUCUUGGCUAUUAUGUGGAGAUGGGGUCUUUAAAGAGGUGAUGAAACUAGCAGUGAAGCUGCUGGGAGGGUCCUAAUCCAAUAUUUCUGAUGUCUUUGUAAGAAGAGGAGAUGAGGACAGAGACACACACAGAGGCUUGAGCACAGGGGAAUACAGGGAGAAGGGAGACAUCUGCACUCCAAGGAGAAAGGCUCUCAGGAGGAACCAGCCCCAAUCUUAGACUUCCAGCCUCUGUAACUGAGAAAAUGAAUUUUCAUCCUUUAAGCCACCCAGUCUGUGGCACUUUGUUAUGGUACCCAUUGUUGACUUUUCCAUCUUGGUUUCAAAUUUAACAAUAAGGAAACAAGCAAGAGAGGAGGAUCCACAGUGCCAGUGUGGAGGUGCACUGUGCUUUCUGUGCCCUGGACCAUGGUAUAGGAGGGAGAGUUUGGCUGUGGCACCUCCUGCAGCAAUGAGAAGCAGGUAGAGCUUGGCCUCCUGAGCCCUGGGCAGGGCACAGCAUUCUUCUCCUAUUACUUCAUCCACCAGAACAAAAAUCUCCUUCACCAGGGACCUUGACUACUCUGGGAGAAGUCCUUCCCUGUACCCAGGACAGAUUCGUGACAGCUCAGUUUGACUUCACCACCUCUGUGGCUUCCCACCACUGUCUGUGGCUGCACCCAAAUGCUGGCGCCUGAGGACACCCCGUCUGCCUGCUGAGGGGCCUCGGCAUCUUACCAGAGAGCACCUGUGUUUGUCAGGGUUUCCAGAAAAGCAGAGCUGAGGGGUUCUCAAAGAACCAGGAUGUCUUCAGCUGAUGUACUUUUGGCCUUGACUGUCACAGUAUCACAGGACCAUUGAGGCCUCAACUUGUGACUGGAGGAUGGCUCCUGACAGUGAGCAGCUUUCUUCCACCAUGCCAUCUGCCAUUGCAUUUCUGCCUUGGAGCCCGCUGACUGUGCAUGGACUGAACCUUCUAAAACCAUGAGCCAAAAUAAACCUAUCCUCCUUCUAAGUUGCAGGUGUUGAGUGUUUUGUCCAAGUGAUGGGAAAGUGACUAAUAUGCACCUUGAUUUUAGACUUUCCAGUCUCCAAUAUCAUGAGAAAUAAAUUUCUGUUGUUUAUAAGCCAGCACUCUACAGCAUUCUGUUUAGCAGGCCACACACACUAAUAUGGUAUUUUCCAAGCUCUUUGCCUCAUGGAUACAGAAGAGAUUCUGUAGCUCCAGACAUCAUUUCUGUACUCAAGUAGAAAGAAGUUAGGUGGGGAGUAGAAUGAGCAACAUCUAUCUCUUUAAUAAGAAAAGCAGUGCCUUCACAGAAGUAUUCUCAACCAACUUUCCUUGGUCUCAUUUGCCAGAAGUGGGUUCUAUGGUCACCUUUUUCCAAGAGAAGUUGGGAAAGUAAGGAAGAGGACUGUCAUGAUUCAUUAUCUGUUGCUGGGCACAUGGCCAAAGUAUAAGAAAAAAACAAAAAUGGGAAAUGGAUGCCGUGUAGGCCACUAACAGGUGGCUUGUCAGAACUUAUUUUUGAGAAUCGCAUCUCCAUGUAAAAUAUUUUAGAUUGAGAUUCAUUUAUGAUAACCAUCUUUGGAGCAAACAGGAUUUUUUCACUGGCUGCCUUAUGUAAACAAAACUGCUUCUGCAAGUGACUUAUUAACAUCCCAGCUAAGCCACCCUGUGGUUUGACCUUGGCUUGCUACCUUAGAGGGAACUGCUGAGUCCCGCAUGUUUACCAGCUGUUCUGUGCUGAAUGCUUGAGUAUCUGGAAAGCAAAUAAAGCCUAGUAGGCCUAUGCUUCCAGGGGAAGUUGGGGGCCUGGGGAGGGGAGCCUUCCUUUAACAAAGACAGUCCUUUCAAUGUCAGUGACAAAUGUGUUUGUACGAAGGCCUCAGAGAGUAGAGGGACAAGUGGUGGUUGCCCCUGGUAACCAAGGUGAACUCUAUUCCUGAUUGGAUGGGUUCACAAGGAGGGUAGUGGGGCCCUGGCUGCUGGGCUUUAGGUAGAUUUAAAAAAUCAUGCAAAGGAAGAGAAAACAAAGAGUAAGGAUCAAGAACCCAUGCAUGGGGGUGGGGGUGGGAGUGGUUUUUUGUUUCCUCUGCUAAUUAACAGCCAAGGAGGCCCUUUUCAGGUCAGGUCAGUGCAUAGGAGCCCUGGUACGGGGUGGACGCCACUCCCAAUGUUCCUAACACUAAAACAAUCAAUUUUCACCCCAAAGUAAAGUUAGGUAGUUGGUUAUAAGGGGUAGAGUGUUGAUAGUUGCCACCACAUUGUUCUUAUAAAUAAAAUGCAUGGUAACUUUAAAAUAAUAAAUGUGUGUGUAGCUGCUGACCAGUUCAUAGCUUUUCCAGCCUCUCGGUGUCCCAGUCUGGUGGGUAGCUGUCCUCAGGCUCCAGGCCAAGCAGUGGCCAGGGCACACUGUGCAGUGUCCAGAGGAACCGGACUUUCCUCUGGGGCUUGGUGACACACAGCUCCUCAUUAGCAACAGAAAAGACAGGGAGCUGGCUUGAGGCUGAGCCUGGCCUGCCCCAGAUUCUGGGUUUUGUUUUUCUGAUUCUGUCCUCGAACUGAUUCACUCCUCCUGCUCAUUCAGCUGGGAGAGGCUGAGCAGCUCUCUGACAGCCGAGGACAUGUCACUGCAGCAGAGAGCUGGCAAUUUGCAGUACCUGAAG